UUUUUUUUUUGCAGGAUUUUUUUUUUUUUUUUUUUUACAGCAGCAUUUUUUUACUGCAGCCUGGUGUAGGUUUCGUUUUUUUGCCAGCCUGGUAUAUCCUGGCCAAAAAAAAAAAAAUUUUCCCUCCAGCCUGCCAUUCUGGUCCAGUUCUAAAAUAUUUCAUAAAAUUAGUCCCUCCUCCUCUUUAGCUGGUUGGUUCAGGUAGUUAAAUAGGGCCUUGUAAUAGGCUCUUUUGACUUAGCCACUCCCUCUCUUACUUAUACUCUUCUCUGAUUGGUUGAUUUGAAUAGGCCCCUCCCAUGGGUACUUGUUCUGGAAAAUUUUAUAAGUAAUUUUGCAAAAUUUUGUCUCCUUCCGCAUAACCGCUGCUGAUUAUUGUCACGAAAGUCCCCAGGGGGAGCGUUCUGGAUCUUUACUCCGCCCCUUCGUGUCCUGCCUUCAUGUCUCUGUCGCCAUGUUCUGAUCCGCUUGCCGAGGCAGAGCCUGUCACAGCCCAUGGCGAUCUGACCGUCACGCAGCCAUGCUUUCAGUGCCGGGGUGGGGAUUGAGCCCACGAUGUCCCGUUCAGGGAGCUGGUGCACUACCACUGUGCUACCGGCACUUUCUUACUUACUAUUGUCUUUCCGGUUAAUUUAUCUUUUUCCCUGCAGGUUAAGCCAGUUGAAGAGCUCAAAUUCGGCUAAAGAGGGGCUUGAACCUGCCACUUCCCAGUCCUGGGUACACAUGCACUGACCACCAGGCCAGUACUCCGCUCAUACUUAUUAAAGAUUUCUGGUUAUUUUAUAUUUUUUCUUGCAGGUAAAGCCAGAAUUUGACUAAAGUGGGCCUCGAACCUGCCACUUCCCAUUCAUGGGCUGACCUUCACUGCCCACUGAGCCACAGCUCUGCUCAUACUUAGUAAUGAUUUCCGGUUAUUUUAUCUUUUUUCCAAGUAAAGCCAGUAGAACUGCUCGAAUUGGGCUAAAGAGGGACUUGACCCUGCAACUUCCCAAUGACGGCAAGCCACACACUGACCGCUGAACCACUGCUCUGCUCAUACUAAGUUAUGCUUCUUGGUCUUUUUAUCUUUUUUUCUUGCAGGUGAAGCCAGAAGAACUGCUCCGAUUCAGCUAAAGUGGGUCUCAAACUAGGAACUUCCCAAUCAUUGCCUGUCAUGCACAGACCACUGAGCCACUGCUCCACUCAUACAUGCUAUAGUCUUUCCGGUUAUUUUAUCUUUUUUCUUGCAGGUAAAGCCGGUUGAACUGCUUGAAUUCGGCUAAAGAGGGGCUUGAACCUGCAACUCCCAAUGAUGGCCUCAGACGCACAGACGACUGAGCCACAGCUUCUCUCACACUUAGUACAGCUUUCUGUUCAUUUUGUCUUUUUUCUUGUAGGUGUAGCCAGAAGAACUGCUCUGAUUCAGCUAAAGUGGGCCUCGAACCCACAACUUCCCAAUCAUGGCCUGACAUGCAAUGACUACCAAGCCACAGCGCCGCUCAUACUUAACAAUGAUUUCUGUUAAUUUUAUCUUUUUUCUUGCAGGUGAAGCCAGAAGAACAGUUAGAAAAUCAUCUAAAGUGGGUCUUGAACCAGGAACUUCCCAAUCAUUGCCUGGCAUGCACAGACCACUGAGCCACAGCUCCACUCUUUCUUGCAGUUGUCUUUCCGGUUAUUUUAUCUUUUAUCUUGCAGGUGAGGCCAGAAGAACAGCUUGAAUUCGGCUAAAGAGGGGCUUGAACCUGCAAUCUUACCAAUCAUUGCCUGCUGCACACUGACCACGAAGCCACUGCUCUGCUCACACUUAGCAAUGAUUUCCGGUUAUUUUAUCUUUUUUCUUGCAGGUGAAGCCAGAAGAACUGCUCGAGUUCGGCUAAAGAAGGGCUUGAACCUGCAAUUUCGCAAUGAUGGUGAAGCCAGAUGAAGAUGAAGAGUUAGUAAUUCAUCUAAAGUGGGUCUCAAACCAGGAACCUUCCAAUCAUGGUCUUUCAUGCACAGACCACUGAGCCACUGCUCCACUCAUACUUUCUGUUGAUUUUUGCUUAUUUUAUCGUUUUUCUUGCAGGUAAAGCCUGUUGAAGUGCUUGAAUUUCAGUUAAAGAGGGCCUCAAAUCUGCUAGAUCCCAAUCAUGGUCUGCUGUGCAUUGACCACAGGGCCACAGUUCACUCAUAUUUACCAUCAAUAUUCGGUUAGUUUAUCUUUUUUCUUGCAGGUAAUGCCAGAAUAAGUGAUUGAAUUUCAGCUAAAGUGAGUCUCAACCCAGGAACUUCUGGAUCAUGGCCUGAUGUUCAGACCACUGAGCCACUGCAGCACUCAUGCUAAGGAUAGAUUGUUGGUAGUUUUAUCGAUUUUAAUCGUGCAGCCGGAAGAACAAUUCAAAUAUUGCAAAUAAAGCAGGCUUUGAACCUGGAGCUUCAUAUCCAAGGCUGACCUUCAGACCACUGAACCACUGCUGCUUCAGUACUCAUUAAUGAUUUUUGGUUACUUUGUCUUUUAACUUUAAACCAUGUGAACAUCAUCUAAAGAGAGAAUCGAACCAGGAAUUCCCAGAUGACAGCUGGCUGUUCAGACCACUGAGCCACUUGGUCUCGACACUUACUUCAAUCUUUGGGAUCUACCAAAUCAGGUCAGAGGCCAUGGAGAUCUCUUGAGUGGACCUGGACUCUUAAAGCAUUAAAAACAACUGUUUCUUGAGUUAUUUGCCAUUUUACAUGUUAAAUCUUUUAAAGUUGUUGCCAGUUUGGAUGUUGAUUGUACCAGUUUUUAUAAGGCGGCUGAAAAAAAGAAAAAAAAGAAAAGUGUUUAAUAAUUUCUGAGUUGUUUUCUUGAUUGUAAUUGCAGCUACUCAUUAAAUCUGUGAGAUGCUACUGUUCAUUUCAUCUAUUCAUUUGUGGAUCUGUAUUACAGGUCUGGGGUCAGCUUUGAAUACACUAGUGGCUGU